rnacentral:lncRNA from 10 species
GCCGCCGCAGCCUGCCUGGGAGGAGGGGUCACCGUUCGGGACAAAAUACCGCAGCGCUCACGCUUCGCCCGCCACUGCCGCCUAGAAUGAGGAGGAGGAGGAGGAAGGAAAGGUCAGGGAGGAGCUUCCCAACGCCGCGGGGCUGGCGCGUAGGGAGGCUAGGGGAAUGUGCUCCUGGCCAGCCGCCUGCCCACGCGGGAUUCCAUUUCGUUCCUCCUCCCCACGCGAUCCCAGCCCCUUUCCCUUUUACAUUUCAGAUUUUCUAAAACGAGGAAGCUGAUUCGCAGAUUGAGGGCAGAUCUGGGCAAACGAUCUACGGAUCUUUAUGACCCACUUUGUCAACAUGGAUUGGGAAAGGAAAAACUAAUCCUAGAGGUAGUAAAAGUUGAUGCCUAAAUGUAGACAGUGCAAAUGCAGGGAACAUUUGGAGAUUUUAAAACCUUACAGCGUUUACCCCAGAAAACUGCUUACUUUACCCUCUUCAAUUUAAUCCCCAAUCUCCCAAGCAGUUUUUUUGUUUUGUUUUUUGCUUUUGUUUGUUAAGCAGGAAGGAAACCAAAGGACAAAAACCCCUAGACUGUGUAAUGCC